UCCGAGACAUGUCUGGUCGUGGUUUCUUUCUUCCCAUUCAUCCGAGAGAUGUCUGGUCGUGGUUUCUUUCUUCUCAUUCAUCUGUUGAUGUCUGGUCGUGGUUUCUUUCUUCCCAUUCAUCCGAGAGAUGUCUGGUCGUGGUUUCUUUCUUCCCAUUCAUCGAGAGAUGUCUGGUCGGGGUUUCUUUCUUCCCAUUCAUCUGUUGAUGUCUGGUCGUGGUUUCUUUCUUCCCAUUCAUCCGAGAGAUGUCUGGUCGUGGUUUCUUUCUUCCCAUUCAUCGAGAGAUGUCUGGUCGUGGUUUAUUUCUUCCCAUUCAUCUGUUGAUGUCUGGUCGUGGUUACUUUCUUCCCAUUCAUCGAGAGAUGUCUGGUCGUGGUUUCUUUCUUCCCAUUCAUC
rnacentral:lncRNA from 1 species